rnacentral:lncRNA from 1 species
AUGGCCCUCUCCCAGGUUCCGGGCCUCCGGGUAUUGGAACUUCUGUCUGUAAAGGAUGAAGCCGACCUUGCUCACACUGCAGCGGGAUGGAGAAACGUGACCCAGCGGAGGGGCUUUCGGCUGCGGAGUGCGAGAGGUCCGCGCGGGCCAGGGGAGCCCUGCGUGUUUGCUUGGUGGGAGUGGUUUACUGGGAAAGUAGACGGAAGGUACCCUGCAAAUCGGCAUGCACUGUAUUGUUUGGGAGUCAACAGCCUGGAAAGCAAAUAUCAGCCGCUUUGGAAUGUGUUUCCUCUUGUCCGGGGUUUGAAGAUUAGUCAUAAAAAACAUCACUCUGCCCUUGCUGAAGUGCUUGCUGGCUACUCGAUCAUUCCACUUCUAUGUCCCAAGAAGGCCCCUGAGAUUUUUCCGUGUGACCCGGUCACAUUGCAUCUGUAUAGAUUAUCAAAGCACCUCAUGACUGUGGAGGAGGAAGUUGGGGACAGAACAUGGAUCUGGAAGGCUCACAGCAUGGACUUGAUCUCUCCCAAAAAGGAUGCUUGUAGAAAACGAUGAUUCUGAAAUGGUACAAAUUCCUUUCCCAAAAGGCAUCUCAAAGCCAGCCGCUGCUACUGACUUAUUGAUGGCUAUCAUCCAGUGGCCUUGGGGAGGCGGUGGGCAGCCCAAUCACUGCCUGUAAUAAGGAGAGACAACUCAGCAUCCGCCCUGCAGUGAAUAAUAGAACAAAAAGCCGCCGGCGCCUGCAGGAUCAAAGCACAUGAGCAACCACAGUGUCUCUGGGUUCAACAGAUCAGCGAAGGCCAGGCAGUCAGCAGAUGUCAUGGAAUUUUUGGGGAGAGAAGUCUGGGUUGUGGAGGAAGCCUCAGCUGGAUUUCGGUACCUUACAAGAUGCUCUUCUGUGGCUCUCUCCUGCUAACCUUCCUUGGACAUGAAAUACUCUUCCUUCUAUCCUCCCUCUUUACCACUGCUGUUCCCAAAGUCUAAAAAGAUGGGGGCAGGAGGUGAGGCAGGCAGGGAUGGGAAAAGAAUACUGGACCAGGAGGCAGGAGACACUGGAUCUGUGGGUGUAGGCAAUGCUAAAUGACUUCCAUGGCCUCAGUCUCGCCAUCUGUAAAAUGGGAAGGUUGAUAUAUGGCCUCAAACUUUCUGCCCACUUUGAUAAACCAUAUUUCACCAAAAAGAGGCAGAGGGGAUCUGUUGCUUUUCAGGUUCCUGUCCAGUUACUUCUAGGUCAGACAGAAUGAUUGCCCCAAUGAUUCUGGGUCCACAAACUCCAUCUGUGAACCCCCAUUUCUCGGGGGCGUUGGGAUCAGGAUAGGCAAGAAGACUAUAUUAUUCCCUCCUCCUACUUGCUCCCACUUGCCAGUGGGGAAAUCAGUGGCAACUUUAGAGUAAUUUUGGAGGGGCGGGGGGAUGAGUUAUUAUUGGGCUUUUUAUCUGCAAAGAAUAUUUUCAGAUAUUAAUGUUUGUGCCUUUAAAUGUACAUGCAGUUCUAGAGUAGAAGACCCUAGUGGUUGCGGUGCUGUGAGGCAUUUUGCAUAUAUUUAUCUCACUCAAGAAGAACUGUGGGGUCCGUGUGAAAGUAAGUGUGUGUGUAUGUGUAUGUGUGUGCAUGCCCCGAGUCAGCCUGAGUCCUGAGACUUUUGUCUUUGCUCCUGACUAAGCCACUGGGGGAGGUAAAUAUAUAAUUGGAGGAAGAAAUCUGUCAGGAAAUAACUUUUUUACUUGUGGAAAGUCAUUGAAAACCCUUGCUUUUGUAUAUGAGCACAGCACCCUGUAGGCAGGUGAGGAGUCUUAGAACAGAGCAGGGAGCAAACUAGACUAGUACUAAAGAAACCUCCAUGUUUGAUAUAAAGCCAAUGCACAGGUCCACACAGACAGAGCAUGGAGGUGUGCUCCGCAGGGGCACGGCACAGACCCGUGUAAUGGCAAGCCCGGACACGUGUACAACUAAACAUCCUCACAGAUACAUUUUAGUGUAGGCAGAGACCUGAUGUUAUGGGUUAGACUAUGUCCCCCCACAAAAUAUGUGUACUGGAAGCCAUCUUUCAGUACAUGUGACUGAGACCUUAUUUGGAGAUAGGGUCUUUGCAGAUGUAAACUGGUUAAUAAAAAAUAAUAAAAUAAAAUAAUUCUUAAAAAACUAAAGGCAACAAUAAAAUAAAAAAAAAAAGAAUAAGUCAUGCUGGGAUAGGGUGGGAUAGCCCUAAUUCAAUGUGACUGGUGUCCUCGAAAGAAGAGGGGAAUUUGGACACAGAGACACAGAAGGAAGACGGCUACAGGGGAAUGUAGGUAGAGAUUGGAGUUAUGUGGCCACAAGGGAAGGAACUCCUGGGGCUCCCAGAAGCUGGAAGAAACAAGGAUCCUUUCCCUAUGGGCUUUGGAGGGAGCGUGGCUCUGCAACACCUUGGUUUUGGACUUCUAGCUCCGGAAGUGUAAGAGAAUAAAUUUUUGUGAUCUCAUACUCAGUUCAUGGUGCUAUAUGGUGAUAGCCCUAGAAACUAAGAUACCCAGGUGUGUUGGAUGUACACAUCAGGCCCACAUUCAGGGUGCACAGGGCCUUUGGUAAACAACAACAACAACAACAAAAACUCUCAUUUCUGUGGAGAAUCCAUUGCCAGUGGUCUGGAUGGCAUGGCCACUGCCCUUCUUCAGGGAUGUGCACAAGACCCUGGCCUGGCCAAUCAGAAUACCUCAUGCCCUGGACCACAGUAAUUGGGUCAGGGGUGGUCAUGAUUUACAUAAAAUGUUUAAAUGUUUUCUUACAGUACUUAAAAUAAAAAAUGC